rnacentral:rRNA from 1 species
GUACCUGUACAGAUAGGUUUACUGCAUGGGGCGGCCUCCGCUUCUCUCUUACUUCGCCGAAUUGGUGGGGGAGCACAAAGCGUUAUCCGGAUUCACUGGGUUUAAAGGGUGCGUAGGCGGGCUGGUAAGUCAGUGGUGAAAUCCUGGAGCUUAACUCGGGAACUGCCGUUGAUACUAUCUGUCUUGAAUAUUGUGGAGGUAAGCGGAAUAUGUCAUGUAGCGGUGAAAUGCUUGGAUAUGACAUAGAACACCCAUUGCGAAGGCAGCUUACUACACAUAUAUUGACGCUGAGGCACGAAAGCGUGGGGAUCAAACAGGAUUAGAUACCCUGGUAGUCCACGCCCUAAACGAUGGAUACUCGACAUACGCGAUACACUGUGUGUGUCUAAGCUAAAGCAUUAAGUAUCCCACCUGGGAAGUACGUUCGCAAGAUUGAAACUCAAAGGAAUUGGCGGGGGGAGCACCA